UACGUAGGGUGCGAGCGUUAAUCGGAAUUACUGGGCGUAAAGGGUGAGUAGGCGGUAAUAUAAGUUAGAUGUGAAAUACCUGAGCUUAACUUAGGAGGUGCAUUUAAGACUGUAUUGCUAGAGUAGAGUAAGAGGUGGGGAGAAUUCCAAGUGUAGCAGUGAAAUGCGUAGAUAUUUGGAGGAAUACCGAUGGCGAAGGCAUCCCACUGGUAUAUUACUGACGCUGAGUCACGAAAGCGUGGGUAGCAAACAGG
rnacentral:rRNA from 1 species